rnacentral:lncRNA from 1 species
GCAGCGGCCGCGGCUCGGGAGCCUUCCCCGAUCGAGACGAGGACAGAGAGGGCCGAGCGAGAGAGGGAUGGCGGCGUGUGGGAGAAGGAAGGGCGAGGAGGAGGCCGCAGGUGAGGGAGAUGGGGGCCUGGCGCUGGGUUCGGCAGGGGCGAGCGCGAGGUGAGAGGCGAGAGGGAGAUGGGGAUCGAGAGGAGGGAGGACGAUGCGUGCGGCGCUGGAGGGAGAUGGGGAUCGAGCAGGAGGCUCUCCCCUGCACUAGGGUUAGAGUGGGGGGUGCGGCUGGGCCUUGGGUCGGCUUAGGUAGUGGGCUGCGGCUGGCUGCGGCUGGAGAGGUGGGCUGCGAGGAAGCAGGCCGGUUUGGAUGGUCGGGCCUAAGAGGCCUGGCUGGGCUCUCUCUCUACUCUUUCUAAUGAAUAAAAAACAGAACAGAGAAAAGAAAGAAAAGAAAGAGAGGUUAGGGGGAAGAUUUGCGCAUGGGGAUAAUUUUCCCGGACUCGCAAAAAUGAGCUCGAUCCAGGAAAAAUAGAAGUGGGCAUGACCGAAAGAUUUAAAUUCAAACUCAUUUGAAAUUAAUUCAAAUGGUUUUGAACGGAAGUGAGGGUUUGGGAAGGUCCAAAAAUGUUCGGAUUUUUGGUGGAGCUCCGGAAAAUGAUGAAAUAAUUAUUGGCAAGGUUGGAGACCAAAACAUGAAGCAGAAAAGGAACGUAAUUAUUUUGCAAGUGUGUUUUGGUGAUUUCCGAAAUAAAGAAAUUUUUAAUAUAGCUCCCUAAUAUUGGAGGAUAUGUUAUAAAGAGAAGUCACCAUGUGAGUUCCCUCGGUUUAAAUAGAUCAAAAGAUCUAUGCAAUUUAUUUAGUUGAGUUUUAAAAUUAAAUGGCAUGAUGACAUGAUGACAUGAUGCAAUGCAAAAAAUAAAAGAGCAAGCACAAAAGAAACACAUGGCAAAACUCGAAAUAGCUGGAAGUCUUCUGGAGCGUCGGUCUCGGGGCGUUACAACACUCCACCACUACAAGAGGAUCUCGUCCCGAGAUCUAGGAUGGCACCGGAGAGAAACGGAAGAGGAAGAGAGGAGGUAGAACUAAGUUGCUUCUUCGACAAAAGAGUGAAACCAAAGAACCUUGAGAGGUUGAACAAAUUGAAAGAAAGAACACAAGGUAGUUGAAACACAAUUGAGAGCACUGCGGUAGAGAAAUAGAAAUAAGGAACACCAUUUGAACCUUGGAGGUUGCAAAGCUAUGAAUGACGAGUACAAUGGACAAGAAGGGAUUGAACCACUCUGGUUGAAACGAGAUAAACAAGGAACAAGGAAGAACAAAUUCGGACAGCACUCCGGUUGAAAAGAGAUGCAAGACUUGAUAAGAUGAAAAGAACUUAGCAGAGAACAUAACACUCCGGUUAAAUGGAUAAGCACGAAAAGAACAUGAUCCUCAAUACGAGAAGAUGAGUGAAGAGAGCAACAUCACAAUGCCUUCGAAAGAAAGAAUAGAAGAUAGAUCAUUGGAAUAACAGAAUGGAGAAGGAAAUGCCAACUUCUGCCACAAAUGAGCUUGGAAAGCAUCCUUGCAAAGAAGAAUUGAACAGAGUUGUUGGAAAAUCAACAACGAAAAGCACUUACUUGUAGUGGGCUUAUGGAAAACAUCUCAAAAUUAUGAGGUGACAACCGGCCACUAACGGAAACAAUUGAUUUCUUGAGAUCAACGAAGAGAUGAAAACUUCUUUUGCCGAGAGGAUAGGAGAAAACUCGAAUCAUUGAUAAGCACCACAAUAGCAACAUUCCUUAGGGAAGGCUUAAGGUGAAAUAUGACACAAGAUACUCCAACGAAGAGAUUAAUGGAUUUAAAAUACCUCAUUCUUGACAACAUAUGAAUCAUGAAACAUGAAGGAAAUUGUCAAGAGUGACAUAACACCACCUCAAAAGAUAAGGUAGGAAGAAUUGCACUUCGAAAUGCACGAUAAAGAAUGCUUGAACUCCUCACAAAAAUAACAUGUGUUGAGAACCAUGUUUAUUUUUGAGUAAAGCUUGGCGGGUCAUAACUUCGAGAGAAAUCUUGAAGAACAACUGAAGAAUGAAAAGAAUCCUUGACGAACCACCAUGUAGAGCCUCCAUGAAGAACUCCGGUAAUAAAAGGAUGAUAAAAAGAAAGGGAAGUUGAAAAUACAAGGUGAAGCCUUGCAAUGAUUUAGAAGGAGCUUCGCGAUGAUAUAACCAAGAAAACUUGGAACUCCAGAAAAGAAAAGAUGAAGCAUCUCGAACCGAGAAAUGUGACAUGAUGAACAAUCUCCGGAAGAAGGAAUUAAUCACUUGGAUGAAACAAGAAUAAGAAUUAUGUUAUGUGUAUUCUUCAUCAAUUUAAAUUGAUGACGAGCAAUGGAUUUGGCAUACUACUUAUUCUCAUAGAAAGGAUUAAGAGAGAUAUAACGCAAAACUUGAGAAAGCUAUUGAUGGAACCAUCGGUGGGAUUGAAACAACAAAAGAACGAAUGAAUUGAUACGAUAACGAAGGAAGAGAAAUCUUGAACAACCAUCAUAAUAAUUGAAAAUGAAAGUACCAAAGGCACAAAUCACGAGAAGAAUUGGAAAACAAACGAAGAUACUUGAGGGGAUUUGGAUACAUGAGAACGAAGAGGCCAUGAACUGAUUAGAGGAUAUUUGAACGAUGCACCGGUAAGAUUUGUAGAACAAGAGCUGAAGGCUGAGAAAGAAUUAUGACAUGAUGGCCUUCGGAGGAAAAGAAAUGGAAACAACUCAUGAAAUGCUCCGGAUGGGUGAAAAGAAUUCUCACAAUCAAAAGCAAUUAUGAGAGGAUGGUAUAAAGCUAGAACCAUGAAUCUCUGGAAGAACGGGUAAGGAUUUAAGAGGAACUCUUCUUCGGUCUUCAAAAUUCGAGAAUGACAAGGAGAAACACCACCAUGAAUUGUUGAGAUACUCCGGGAUGAAAAUUAGAAAGGUUGAACCAACAACGAAAGAAUUUGAAAGAUCUUGGAGAAAGACAUUUGACUGAUGAUAAUUCAUUGUUACGUCAAGCUUCGAAAAGAAUUUGGGAAUAGCUCUGGAAUAAUUAGAAGAGUCAGGUAAGAUCCUGGGAAAAGACCUGUGGGUUAGGGUCCACUCAAAAGAAACACCGUUGAACGAUUGAUUGAAAGGGGGGAUUGCGCCAGUUGAAUUAAAUGGCUUGAAUGAGAUAACAAUCUCCAAAUAGCUUGAACAGAUUAAGAAUUGAAACACGAAUCUUCUGAGAUAUCAUCGGCACUUCGGAUAAUAGAGAGAGGUGAACAAUUGUGAGAGGCACCGGCAUGGGAUAGCAUUUGAACGAGGAUAAGGAUAUGAUCAACACCAAAAGCUUGAGGUAAAUCCACCGGAGAAGAAAAGAGACAAAGAAUAAUAAACUUGAAGCUCGUGAGCAUCUUCACGAGGGAUCCCCGGAUCAGAACAUUGAUUGAAAAGGGUGAAGUGACUUCACAUGAAUAAAUGGAUACUUGAUUAACAUAUAUGAGUCCUUGAAGAAAAAGGGUGGGAGGGUGGGUAAAAACAAAGACAACUUGAGAUGAACGAAACAAACACCGUUGAGAAAACUUAGAAUUGAUCUUGCGGAUGGGGAGAAUGAUGGAAUCAUCUCGAAGAGAAGCUCACCGGUUGGAAAAGAAUUAACAUGACGACCUCGAUGAUCAAGAAGGAUUAGCAUUCAUAUAGAAAUAUGAGAACACCAUUUAGGAAAGGUAUGGAUUCAACAUUUGACUUCGAAGCAACUCGAAUACCACAAAUAAAACAAAACAAAGGAUUUGGCUUGCAGAAUAAGCCGGAACAAACAUAUGAUAGAGAUUCCGUCCGAAGUUUUCGUGGUGGGGCCCACACGGGCUCGAGUGUACAGCACCAUCAUGUACAAGGCAGUGCACAUGACAUAUGAAGUGUCCCCGAACUAGCAUAGCUAAGGGUUCUUUAAGACACAACGAGACCACUGUAAAAACGACCGUGGAAAGGCGGACCACUAGACGUCAAACCCCAAUCUCAUAUCAUGCAUCUGUCGAAAAGAUAUUCUAGGAGCUACUUGAAUUCCCACCUAUAAAACUCCCGAAACUUUCUGGUUAUGCAAUCUGGUGUUGGGGAUACAAGGGAAGCAAUAUAUAUCUCAUCCAAACUAACAAUUCCUACAUCCAAGCUGUAUCCAUCCGUCAACACAUAACCAAGAAACCUUCGGAAAUCGUGUACCUCAACCUUCGAAAAGCAUCCGUUAUACGAGCUAUGGCAAUACUCCCGAACUCCCCAGUACUGGGUGACGUCGAGGUUAUCUCACCAACAACUGCAUAAAAGAGAUUUUCGAUGUCGACAAAACUCAGGUAUUCCAGAACUGCAACGAUAAAAUUGUGACGACAACACCUCGGAGCUCAACUCCCCGGGUCAAAGCCACAUAAUAGGCAGGAGGCACCAAGAACAAUGUUCUUGUCACAAAACCAUCGGAACAAUUCCAAGAUACCCGCGUGAUCCUAAAAUUUUUUUAGUGAAAUUUAAGGAGAGGAAAGUCAAAACAUCUACGUCAGGAGACCUCACCAGAGCGACGAAGGGACUGAGGAGUAAAAAGAAUCCUACUCUCCGAUAUAUAUAAUCCUAAGACUCAAUUUUUUUUUCUAGACUCAACAACACCAGCAAACAAUCAAGCAGGGGGCUCCUAAGUCGGGGAUGGCUCUGAUUACCAACUUGUAACACCCACGAUGCGGCUAUAUCUCCCACGUGUCGAAGCACGACUUAGAGGCAUAACCGCAUUGUGGUUUUGUCGCAAGAAGGGUCAUCUUCACACAAUCCCAUGUAAUGAACAAGAAUGGGAUAAAGAGUUGGCUUACAAUCGCCACUUCACACAAUGAACAUAUAAUUCAUACAUCAUUCAGAGUACACACAUAGUCCGACUACGGACGAAGCCAAAAGAAAAGAAGAUAACCCAACUGCUAGAUCCCUGAUCGUCCCGACUGGGCUCCACUACUGAUCAACAAGAAACAACACAUAGCAACAACUAAGAUCUUCGUUGCGCUCCCAUCUGAGCGCGGUUGCAUCGCCUGCACUGGUAUCAUCGGCACCUGCAACUGUUGUGAUAGUAUCUGGUGAGUCACGAGGACUCAGCAAUCUCAAAACCCGCGAGAUCAAGACUAUUUAAGCUUAUGAGUAGGAAGUGGUAAAGUGGUGAGGUUGCAGCAGCGACUAGCAUAUAAGGUGGCUAACAUACCCAAAUAAGAGCGAGAAGAGAGCAAAAGGAACGAUCAUGGACUAGCAAUGAUCAAGAAGUGAUCCUGAACUCCUACUUACGUCAAACAUAACCCAAAACCGUGUUCACUUCCCGGACUCCGCCGAAAAGAGACCAUCACGGCUACACACACAGUUGAUGCGUUUUAAUUCGGAUCUGGUGUCAAGUUAUCUACAACCGGACAUUAACAAAUUCCCAUCUGCCUAUAACCGCAGGCACGGCUUUCGAAAGAUUAUACCCUGCAGGGGUGUCCCAACUUAGCCCAUGACAAGCUUUCGCGAUCAACAAAGGAAUAGACCUUCUCCCAGGAAGACCCGAUCAGACUCGGAAUCCCGGUUUACAAGACAUUUCGACAAUGGUAAAACAAGACCAGCAAAGCCUCCCGCUGUGCCGACAAAUCCCGAUAGGAGCUGCACAUAUCUCGUUCUCAGGGCACACCGGAUUGUCCAAACUUCCGGUAGGCCAGCCCAGAGUUGCCCCUGGUGGCCACCGGCGGUUGACAGGUUGGACCAACACUCACGACGAGCACUGGGCCGGGGGGGUAAAAUAAAGAUGACCCUUGAGUCUGCAGAACCCAAGGGAAAAAGGCUUAGGUAGGCAAAUGGUAAAACCAAGGUUGGGUCUUGCUGGAGGUGUUUUAUUUAAAGCGAACUGUCAAGGGGGUCCCAUAAAUCACCCAACCGCGUAAGGAACGCUAAAUCCGGGAACAUAACACCGGUAUGAUGGAAACUAGGGCGGCAAGAGUGAAACAAAAUACCAGGCAUAAGGCCGAGUCUUCCAGCCUUUACCAAGUAUAUAGAUGCAUUAAAUAAAUAAGAGAUAUUGUGAUAUCCCAAAAUAAUCAUGUCCAUCGUGGAGCAAUCUUCAACUUCACCUGCAACUAACAAUGCUAUAAGAGGGGCUGAGCAAAGCGGUAACAUAGCCAAGCAACGGUUUGCUAGGAAGGGUGAAAAGGUUAGAGGCUGACAUGGCAAUAUGGGAGGCAUGAUAAACAAGUGAUAGAUAGCGCAGCAUAGCGAUAGAACGAAGCAACUAGCAAGCAAAGAUAGAAGUGAUAUCGAGGGUAAUGGUCAUCUUGCCUGAAAUCCGAUAGGAAGAAGAACAAGUCCAUGAAGAAGACAAACAGACGUAGUCGAACGAAUCCUCACAACUCCGGAACGAAACCGAAGCUAACGAGAGAAGCAAACCGGAAAGAAGCAAACAACAUGGUAAACACACAAGCAUAAUCAUGGCAUGAUGCACAACCAAAUAUGAUGCAUGUCCGGUUUAAUGAGGCAUGGCAUGGAAAAGCAAACAACACUACAAUUUAAGUGGAGCUCAAUAUGCAACGAGUUGCAUAUUGACGAAACACCACAUCAAUUAUUUAGUUUCUCUCUCGGUUAUGAACACAAUAAUAUUAAAUGUUGAUUAACAUGGCAAGAGGUGAAGCAUGAGCAAACCACCUAUUUAGGCAAGUUUAAAUGAGGCCGGAAAUAACAAACAACAAUUCCGGAAAAAUCCCCACAUGUCAUUUAGUAGUUUAAUGCAACAACAAUUUUAAGCAUUUAAAUGUUGUUAUCAUCAUGCGGAUGACAUAUGCAAGUUUAUGCAAUUUUAUGAAAAUGUUAACAUGAGCAUGAUACGAGGCAUUUGGUCACCAUGGCGGAACGAAAGGGGUGCCACGGCGGUGAAACAAAAAUGGUGCCACGGCAACAUAUCCGAAAAUGAUGUCACGACAACAUAUCAGUUCUGGUAGCUCACGGAGAUACCGGUGCAAAAGAAGGCGUGCGGAUGAGCGCAAUAUACUAGAGAUGGUGGGGUGCUCCCGACUACCGGGUUCCCACGAGACGGGGCAUGGCAAAAGAGGGGCAUCGCAAGGACAAUUCGGACACGGUGCAAACACAUCGUACAUCUCAUCCAUGCAAGGGCAUCUCAUCACGGUCGUCUCGCGUUAUACCUUCGAAGCGUUCAAACGGGACGGUUCGCGUUUCGUAGAGGGAAGUAGUCGUUCACGGGUCGUAGUGGAAGUAGUCGUACACGGCGUAGUGGAAGUCGUUGUUCACGUGGCGACGGUAGUUGUACACGUUUUCGUAGAUGUUCAGGUCGACAGUAGUGGUACACGCGACGUCGGGGUACUUGUCGGUCCGGUCUUGGCGGUGUAGAUGUACACAUUCCGUAGACGAACAUGGAUGUCGUGGUACUUGCGUUACUGUGGCCUCCAGGUACUUGCCGAAAACCACAUCGGAGGUAGUCGAACCGAUCUGAAGACGAACUUGGCACCGAGGUCGAACUUGCCGGUCUGGAUGAAUCUGAAGGGGCAUCGAGGGACUUGCAAGGCUCUGCCUCGGGAGGUCACCGGGGACCGCUCGAGCUGCUGGAUGCUGGCGCAGGAUGCAGGGGUGCGGCAUGGAGCUUGACGGCGGGGCUCCGGGCUCCUGGUGGAGCUCUUGGUGGUCGCCACCAACGGAGGAGGCGGCAAGGGGCGAGAGGGACCGGGCGCAGGGAGCACCACUCCCUGGCUCGAUGCGGAGGAGGUGACGGCGCGGGCCUGUGGGCCUGGCUGGCGCCAUGGACGAAGGGAGCAUGAGCUCGGGGAGGAGGCCGAGCGCUGGCGAGGAGGAGGCAGAGGGACUUGGCCGGCGGCGCGGCUGAUGGCAGGGGACGAUGGAUCCGGGCAGCGGCCGCGGCUCGGGAGCCUUCCCCGAUCGAGACGCGGACAGAGAGGGCCGAGCGAGAGAGGGAUGGCGGCGCAUGGGAGAAGGAAGGGCGAGGAGGAGGCCGCAGGUGAGGGAGAUGGGGGCCUGGCACUGGGUUCGGCAAGGGCGAGCGCGAGGUGAGAGGCGAGAGGGAGAUGGGGAUCGAGAGGAGGGAGGACGAUGCGUGCGGCGCUGGAGGG